rnacentral:other from 1 species
GCGUCCCUGCGCUGCGCGUGAUACCGGGGGGAAGUUUCAACCUCGUCAACACGACGGGAGCUGUGGCAGAGGGUGGUGCGCAAGCCCCUCCGAGAAGGGGAAGCCUGAAACCCUCGAAUCGACGGCGCCCACCUGGUGAGCACCAGGUUCGAAACACCGUCGGCACACGGCAGCCGUGGGGAUUUG